UCCUCGGUAGCUCAAUGGUAGAGCGGUCAGUUGUUAACUGAUUGGUCAUAGGAUUGAAUCCUAUUCGGGGAG
rnacentral:tRNA from 1 species